AUUUCUUUUCUUCAUGAUCAAGAAAGUGGGGAAGGAAGGCAGUGGAAAUGUUCCUGGUUUGGUUUCCAGAAUUAUCCAGCUAAUUAGCUAGAGCAUUCUGAGAGUUCUUGUUCAGAAAAUAAUUCCUACACUUUGCUCUUCAGGAUAACAAUGGGAAGAGAAGGGGAGAGAAGGAGAAUCCCACAUCCCAGAAUCCCACAGUAAUAACUUAUAAUAAGUUAUUAUUAUUAUCCUGAUGUCACUUUACUGCCGGCAUAACAGUGGAAAUGAGAAGGGACUUAUCGCACCAAGAUGCAUGAUGCGAAAUAGGCAGGAGCUUGGAUGACAGUAGAAAGUAGGAACACUGGCAAUGCAUGCAAGAUGAGCUGAUGAGCCCAGGGAAAGGAUGAUGAUCAAAUCAGCUCAGACCUGAUCCUUCUAUGCCCUGAAGCUCCAGGAUACUUCAUAGUAUCUCCUCACAUUGUCAAAAGUGGGGCAAACUCAUCUUAAACUGACUCCACCUCUGGGAUACCCACUAGAAGCCGUUGUGCCUCAUGGGAACAGCCAGCAGUCCAUUCACGGAAUGUUUGAAACAAUGCAUGGACCUGAUUCAGCAAGGUACAGCAAUCAAAUGCAUGUUUUAAUGGUCCUUUCUAUUAAUAAGUCUAUUGUCUACGUUGUUGGGAA